rnacentral:rRNA from 1 species
GGUUAAGUUAAUAAGGGCGCACGGUGGAUGCCUUGGCACUAGAAGCCGAUGAAGGACGUGACUAACGACGAAAUGCCUUGGGGAGCUGUAAGUAAGCAAUGAUCCAGGGAUGUCCGAAUGGGGGAACCCGGCAGGUAAUGCCUGUCACUCACUACUGUUAAGGUAGUGAAGAGGAAGACGCAGUGAACUGAAACAUCUAAGUAGCUGCAGGAAGAGAAAGCAAAAGCGAUUGCCUUAGUAGCGGCGAGCGAAACGG